rnacentral:rRNA from 1 species
GACGAACGCUGGCGGCGUGCUUAACACAUGCAAGUCGAACGGAAAGGCCCUGCUUUUGUGGGGUGCUCGAGUGGCGAACGGGUGAGUAACACGUGAGUAACCUGCCCUUGACUUUGGGAUAACUUCAGGAAACUGGGGCUAAUACCGGAUAGGAGCUCCUGCUGCAUGGUGGGGGUUGGAAAGUUUCGGCGGUUGGGGAUGGACUCGCGGCUUAUCAGCUUGUUGGUGGGGUAGUGGCUUACCAAGGCUUUGACGGGUAGCCGGCCUGAGAGGGUGACCGGCCACAUUGGGACUGAGAUACGGCCCAGACGCGUACGGGAGGCAGCAGUGGGGAAUAUUGCACAAUGGGCGGGAGCCUGAGGCAGCAACGCCGCGUGCGGGAUGACGGCCUUCGGGUUGUAAACCGCUUUCGCCUGUGACGAAGCGUGAGUGACGGUAAUGGGUAAAGAAGCACCGGCUAACUACGUG